rnacentral:rRNA from 1 species
GUGGGGAAUCUUAGACAAUGGGGGAAACCCUGAUCUAGCCAUGCCGCGUGAGCGAUGAAGGCCUUAGGGUUGUAAAGCUCUUUCAGCUGGGAAGAUAAUGACGGUACCAGCAGAAGAAGCCCCGGCUAACUCCGUGCCAGCAGCCGCGGUAAUACGGAGGGGGCUAGCGUUGUUCGGAAUUACUGGGCGUAAAGCGCGCGUAGGCGGACCAGAAAGUUGGAGGUGAAAUCCCAGGGCUCAACCUUGGAACUGCCUUCAAAACUCCUGGUCUGGAGUUCGAGAGAGGUGAGUGGAAUUCCGAGUGUAGAGGUGAAAUUCGUAGAUAAUCGGAGGAACACCAGUGGCGAAGGCGGCUCACUGGCUCGAUACUGACGCUGAGGUGCGAAAGCGUGGGGAGCAAACAGGAUUAGAAACCCGGGUAGUCC